rnacentral:sRNA from 1 species
UGAUUCGAUGGACCCAAUUUUCUAUGAC